GACGAACGCUGGCGGCGUGCUUAACACAUGCAAGUCGAACGGAAAGGCCCUGCUUUUGUGGGGUGCUCGAGUGGCGAACGGGUGAGUAACACAUGAGUAACCUGCCCUUGACUUUGGGAUAACUUCAGGAAACUGGGGCUAAUACCGGAUAGGAGCUCCUGCUGCAUGGUGGGGGUUGGAAAGUUUCGGCGGUUGGGGAUGGACUCGCGGCUUAUCAGCUUGUUGGUGGGGUAGUGGCUUACCAAGGCUUUGACGGGUAGCCGGCCUGAGAGGGGGACCGGCCACAUUGGGACUGAGAUACGGCCCAGACUCCUACGGGAGGCAGCAGUGGGGAAUAUUGCACAGUGGGCGGAAGCCUGAUGCAGCAACGCCGCGUGCGGGAUGACGGCCUUCGGGUUGUAAACCGCUUUCGCCUGUGACGAAGCGUGAGUGACGGUAAUGGGUAAAGAAGCACCGGCUAACUACGUG
rnacentral:rRNA from 1 species